rnacentral:rRNA from 1 species
UACAGAGAGUGCAAACGUUGUUCGGAAUUACUGGGCUUGAAGCGCACGUAGGCGGCGCCACAAGUGUCGGGUGAAAUCCCACGGCUUACCCGUGGAACUGCCUGGCAGACUGUGGUGCUCGAGUGUGGUAGGGGAGAGCGGAACUCCUGGUGGAGCGGUGAAAUGCGUAGAUAUCAGGAGGAACACCGGUGGCGAAGGCGGCUCUCUGGUCCACAACUGACGCUGAGGUGCGAAAGCUAGGGGAGCAAACGGG